UCCCCUUUCUCCGGCUACUUCACCGUCGCCGUCGGCAAUUCGUCUGACUCAGUGAGUCCCCGAUGACGAAUUCGACUAGUCUUUAAUUGUUUUCUUCUAUCUUCUCUUUGCCUCUGUCUUUAAAUAAGGGCUAUGAGUAUCUCCACAGUCGCCAAGCGCUUGGCGCCAGCAAUGGUUCCUUACAAAUCCAUUUCAGUGAAAAAUUCGUCUCAAUCUCUCAGAGAAUCUCUCCCUCGUCGACUUACAUUACUCUUACAAGCUUGCUCUAAUCAAAGUCUGCUUCGACAAGGUCAGCAAGUUCACGCCUUUCUAAUCGUAAACAGAGUUUCUGGUGAUAGCCACAUCGAUGAGAGGAUCUUGGGGAUGUAUGCAAUGUGUGCUAGCUUUUCUGAUUGUGGGAAAAUGUUUUACAGACAUGAUUUACGAUUUAGUAGCAUCAGACCGUGGAAUUCGAUUAUCAGCAGUUUUGUUCGAAAUGGUUUAUUGAAUCAGGCUUUGUCGUUUUACUUCAAGAUGUUGUGUUUUGGAGUUAGUCCUGAUGUAUCUACGUUUCCUUGUCUCGUUAAGGCUUGUGUUGCUUUGAAGAAUUUUAAAGGGAUUGAGUUUCUUCGCGGUACAGUCUCUUCUCUUGGGAUGGAUUGUAAUGAGUUUGUGGCGAGUUCUUUGAUCAAAGCUUAUCUUGAGUAUGGAAAGAUCAGUGUUGCGGGUGAGUUGUUUGAUAGAGUUCUUCAGAAAGAUUGUGUUAUAUGGAAUGUGAUGCUUAAUGGCUAUGCAAAAUGUGGAGCUUUAGAUAGUGUUAUAAAAGGGUUUAGUGCAAUGAGGAUGGAUCAGAUUAGUCCUAAUGCUGUUACGUUUGAUUGCGUUUUAUCGGUGUGUGCCUCUAAGUCGUUGAUUGAUCUCGGAGUUCAGCUUCAUGGUCUAGCUGUUGUUUCUGGAUUGGAUUUUGAAGGUUCUAUCACAAACUCACUUCUAUCUUUGUAUUCUAAAUGUGGUUGUUUUGAUGAUGCAUCUAAGUUGUUUCGGAUGAUGCCUCGUACUGAUACAGUGACAUGGAAUUGCAUGAUAUCUGGAUAUGUUCAGAGUGGACUAAUGGAAGAAAGCUUAAUUUUUUUCUGUGAGAUGAUAUCUUCAGGUGUCUUACCUGAUGCUAUCACAUUCUCUAGUUUGCUUCCAUCAGUUUCAAGCUUUGAAAACCUUGAGUAUUGUAGGCAAAUUCAUUGUUAUAUUAUGAGACAUAGCAUACCGCUGGAUAUCUUCUUAACAAGUGCUCUUAUUGAUGCCUACUUUAAGUGUAGAGGUGUUUCGAUGGCACAAAAGAUUUUCAGUCAGUGUAACUCAGUUGAUGUUGUAGUGAUCACAGCAAUGAUCUCUGGGUAUUUGCACAAUGGUUUGUAUCUUGAUGCUGCAGGGAUGUUUAGGUGGCUAGUUAAGGAAAAAAUGAGUCCAAAUGAGAUAACUUUGGUGUCUAUUUUACCGGUAAUUAGUGGUUUGGUUGCAUUGAAAAUCGGGAGGGAACUCCAUGGUUUCAUAAUCAAGAGAGGUUUCAGUAACAGGUGCAAUGUUGAAUGCGCUGUUAUCGACAUGUAUGCUAAGUGUGGAAGAAUGAACCUUGCUUAUGAAAUGUUUGGGAGACUCUCUAAGAAGGAUAUUGUUUCGUGGAAUUCCAUGAUCACGCGUUGUUCACAGAGCGAUAAUCCUAGUGCGGCUAUUGAUAUUUUCCGUCAAAUGGGAGUUUCCGGAGUCACUUUUGAUUGUGUUAGUAUUUCAGCUGCUAUUUCUGCUUGUGCAAACUUACCUUCGGAGUGUUAUGGGAAAGCUAUUCAUGGUUACAUGAUAAAGCAUUCAGAUGCUUCUGAUGUAUAUAGCGAAAGUACAUUGAUAGAUAUGUAUGCUAAGUGUGGAAACCUGAAAUCUGCCAUGAAUGUUUUUGAGAUGAUGAAAGAAAGGAACAUUGUUUCGUGGAAUAGCAUCAUUGCUACAUAUGGGAACCACGGGAAGCUACAAGAUUCCCUCCGUUUAUUUGGUGAAAUGGUUGAAAAAAGCGGAAUUUGUCCUGAUCAAAUCACAUUUCUUGAGAUAAUAUCUUCGUGUUGUCACGUUGGAGAUGUUGAUCAAGGAGUCCACUUCUUCAGAUCCAUGACUGAAGAUUAUGGAAUUCUACCACAGCAAGAGCAUUAUGCGUGUGUUGUGGAUCUUUUUGGACGAGCUGGUCGAUUAAAUGAAGCUUAUGAAACUAUUAAGAGCAUGCCAUUUUCUCCCGAUGCAGGAGUCUGGGGAACUUUACUUGGAGCAUGUCGGCUUCACAAGGAUGUCGACCUUGCCAAAGUUGCUUCAAGCAGGUUAAUGGAUUUGGAUCCUCAGAAUUCUGGUUACUAUGUGUUAAUUUCGAAUGCACAUGCUAAUGCCGCAGAGUGGGGUGGAGUGACUAAAGUACGGAGCUUAAUGAAAGAGAGAGGAGUUCAGAAAAUUCCGGGUUAUAGUUGGGUAGAAAUCAACAAAGUAACUCAUUUGUUUGUUUCAGGCGAUGUAAAUCAUCCCAAUUCGUCACAUAUCUAUUCUUUGGUAAAUUUGCUUCUCGAAGAGCUGAGGCUGGAAGGAUAUAUUCCACAGCCUUAUCUUCCUUUGCACCCGGAGUCAACCAAAAAAAAACUCAAUUCCGCUAUUGAGAAAGGAAUGAGAGAUCCAGACAAAGUAUAGUAAACCAGCAGUUGCAGAGAUGUAAUAAGCAACAGCGAAAAGGCCGUGAAUGAAGCAGAGGAUCCCUCCUAUGGAUAGAACCCGAUGGAGAAUAUCAGAGAAGCCACGGCGAGCUGUUUAUUGGCGGAGGACUUUUCAAGGUCUUGUCUUGAGACAACACAGAGACACCCACCGA